rnacentral:rRNA from 1 species
UACGUAGGCAGCGAGCGUUGUUCGGAGUCACUGGGCGUAAAGCGCGUGUAGGCGGCCUUGUAAGUCUGGUGUGAAAGCCCGGGGCUUACCCCCGGAAGUGCACUGGAAACUGUGAGGCUAGAGUACCGGAGAGGAGGGUGGAAUUCCUGGUGUAGCGGUGAAAUGCGUAGAUAUCAGGAGGAACACCGGUGGCGAAGGCGGCCCUCUGGACGGAUACUGACGCUGAGACGCGAAAGCGUGGGGAGCAAACAGG